GGCAGCUGUUUACCUCAGUGUUGUGAAGUAACUUCCCCUGCUGUGUGAUUAGGACAGUAUUUUUAUUUCCUUACUUCCUGGAGAACCCCUUUAAGACCCCAUGCACACGGCCAUAAGGCCGCCAUGCCUGUUGCGAACCGCAGGUCCGCAAAACACGGGAAGCGGCCAAGUGCACCUCGCAUCGUGGUGUGGAGCCAUUGACUUCAAUAGGCCUGCGAUGCGAAAGAUAGGACAUGCCCUAGCUUUUGCAUUGCGGAGGCACGGUCACUGGGCUUCCUUGGGCUUUUGUGUCCAUCCCUCUUCAUCGCAAAAGAGUAAAAAUCGCAUGAUGGUGCCUACACAUAUUGCGGAUUACGUGCGUUUUUCCCAUGUGGAUUUUCGUGUGGAAAAACCACAGCGUAAUACAGUACCAGCAAAGUAUGAUAUUAGACAAAUCUCAGUACACUUUGCUUUUUUCUUAGGACUCAUUUACCCGAACGUUUGGCCUCCAUGCCUGUGUUGCGGACCCCAAACAGCGGCUCCACAAUACACAGGCACCGGCAAUGUGAACUCUGUAUCAUGGAUGCGGACCCAUUGACUUAAAUGAGUCUGCGAACUGCAAGAUACAGCAAAGUAUAGGACAGGUCAUCUCUUUUGUGGAGCGGAGGCAUGGAUCGGAACCUACGGAAACACCAGCACUUCUGUGGGCUUUUGGGUCUGUGCCUCCGCACCACAAAGGAUAAGACAUGUCCUAUCUUUUGCGGAUGGCGGACCCAUCAAAGGGUCCGCACCGCAAUACGGAGUUCACACGGCCAGUGCCGAAGCCAUACAUUCGUGUGAAUGGACCCUUAGGUGCAGAAAUUGACCUGUGGUGCGGAUUUUGAAAUCUGCAGUAUGUCAAUUGUGUUUUUCUUGUGCGGAUUUCACCCUUUUCUAUGGAAGAGUGAGACCUGCAGUAAAUCCGCAUCAAAUCUGUA